rnacentral:sRNA from 1 species
GAAUUCACAUAAGCAAAUCUAUCACGAAACAGUAUAACAAAUUCAAAAGGAUUUUAGAACAGUAUAACGAAUGUACAAGGAUUUUAGAAACAAAUUCAAUCAUCAAAUCUCAAACAAAAUUCAAAUUCGAAGCUGAAGCAAAUGUCAAACUGUCGAUUGAAUCAGGAUUCAAAUAACGAAUUCACAUAAUCAACAACAAAAAUCGAAUAAACCAAUUCGAAAAUGAAGAUUUAAGCUAACAUUAUAAAAUCAAACCUGGGAAACGCAAGAGAUUCGACGGCGACACACAGCUCUACUUACGACAGCGAAGAUGGGUUUUCACGGCGAGUGAACUCACUAUUUCCGACGGCAUGGGAUUCAACGGCAUUCACAAUUUCCGAUGGAGGAAGAAGAGAGAGUGUGAAGAAAUGAAUUAGGUAUGUGGGUAGCUCAUUAAGGGUAAUUUGGAGCGAAAAGUAUUAGAAAGGGUAGAAAUGAAAAUAGGAAAAAAAAAGGGUAAAGUUGCAAAAGGGCAUUGAGAAAAGGGCAUUAGAGUGAAUUAUUCUAUUUUUAUUAUCAGAUAUUACUUAAAAUAUAUUAAACUUUAUC